CAGGAAGAAACCAAAUGAAGUUUAACAAGAGCAAGUGAAGAGUCCUGCACCUGGGAAGGAAUAACCGCAUGUAUCAGUAGAGGCUGGCGGAUGACCUGGAGCUCUGCAGAGAAGGACCUGGGGAUCUUGGUGGACGACAGGUUGACCAUGAGCCAGCAGUGUGCCCUCGUGGCCAAGAAGGCCAAUGGGAUC